rnacentral:piRNA from 1 species
UGAAGGUGAUGCGUAAGAUGACCUGCU